rnacentral:rRNA from 1 species
GGUGGAGCGAUUUGUCUGGUUUAUUCCGAUAACGAACGAGACUCCGACCUACUAAAUAGAAGGCAGAUUCUCAAGUCUGUCGCUACUUCUUAGAGGAAUUCGCGGCGUUUAGCCGCAUGAGAUGGAGCAAUAACAGGUCUGUGAUGCCCUUAGAUGUCCGGGGCUGCACGCGGGCUACACUGGCUUUGCCAGCGAGUCGUCCGUGGUGGAUACGUCACGGUAACCAUGAAAGAAAGCCGUGAUUGGGAUCGGAAAUUGCAAUUAUUUCCCGUGAACGAGGAAUGCCUAGUAGACGUGAGUCAUUAACUCACAUCGAAUACGUCCCUGCCCUUUGUAC